rnacentral:rRNA from 1 species
GCGGAUCAGGAGCUUGCUCCUGUGACGCGAGUGGCGGACGGGUGAGUAACACGUAGGCAACCUGCCCAUCAGACUGGGAUAACCACGGGAAACCGUGGCUAAUACCGGAUAAUCCUUUUCCACACAGGUGGGAAAGUUGAAAGGCGGUCUUUUGGGUGUCACUGAUGGAUGGGCCUGCGGCGCAUUAUCUAGUUGGUGGGGUAACGGCCCACCAAGGCGACGAUGCGUACCCCACCUGAGAGGGUGAUCGGCCACACUGGGACUGAGACACGGCCCAGACUCCUACGGGAGGCAGCAGUAGGGAAUCUUCCGCAAUGGACGAAAGUCUGACGGAGCAACGCCGCGUGAGUGAAGAAGGGUUUCGGCUCGUAAAACUCUGUUGUCAGGGAAGAACGCCGACGGGAGUAACUGCCCGUCGGGUGACGGUACCUGACCAGAAAGCCACGGCUAACUACGUGCCAGCAGCCGCGGUAAUACGUAUGUGGCAAGCGUUAUCCGGAAUUAUUGGGCGUAAAGCGCGCGUAGGCGGUUCGUUAAGUCUGAUGUGAAAGCCCCCGGCUCACCCGGAGAGGGUCAUUGGAAACUGGCGGACUUGAGUGC